GGUCUCAGUGAUUCUGUGGUUCUGUGAGAGGACAAAGAACACCAAGGGAUGUGAUUCUAUGAAACUAACCCCACAGUUCACUGGGGUUCUCCUGGAGCAAAGAAAGCAUAUGUAUGUCUUUUAUGGACAAAUCUCCACCCAUGGCCUUAGAAACAACCUUUAAAGUACUUGCUGGUGGUGCAACAGAGAGCAUUCUCCAGUCACUUCCAUACUUCCCACAUGGUAAAGGACAGAAUGCCUCCACUGAGGAACAGUAAGGUGUCCUGAGGAUGCCUUGUGAUUGCUAAUUGAGAGGAAGGAACACAGCUGGGGUGUUCUGGGCUGGUAUCCACUGCCUUUGAAGCACAGGAGGAGGAGGAGGAGGAGGAAUGCCUAAUGCUGCAGAAAAGCAAAGGCAGAAGACUAGAAUCCGAAAGGAGACCUCCCUGGUGACACUCAGUGGCGUGGAAAGAACCUCCCUACGUGACUCAGGCAAACACAAACACGGGGGAAAAAUAGACUCUUCAAAGAAAAGCUCUACCAAGCUCUACCUCCGUGUGCUCAGGGGACACACACGUACAUUUGUGCAGCUCAGCUGUGACCUCCCACCUUCCUCCUGGAAAUCUUCUGGGCAUGUUAUACAGGUUCCAUUUGACUUAAACCCCCAGAACUGUGCACAAGUCUCAGGGCUCAGUGAACAGGGUGCAAGAUGCUUCUACACCUUCCUCAGCACAGACUCUAAGUGCAUACAAGUCCCAAACCCAGAAAACCCUAGGGAGGUAACAGGGUUUUAAAGACUGAGAGAGAAAAAGAAAAGCAAAGAAAUCAAACAAGGGAGUAAGGAGAAAAGACACGACACAUGAAGAGCACAGCAGACGCUGGGGAGGAACACACCACGAAGGGAGCGAACAAAGUCAGAAGGGACAAGAUCACAGCCCUGGAAAUAAAAAAAACAAACCUUCUGCGCUUCAGGAUCAGUUGAUUUUGGAGUUCUCCACAAGGAUUACCCCUGGCAUCAACAGAACCACUUAAUCCCUUGCUGUCAGUUGGUACAUCCUCUCCUGGCUCAGACAAAUCUUCACCAGCAGCCACUUUAUCCCAAGAGACUGAAUAUCCUGCUAGUCAAAGGACAUGAGUCUGUUUGAACACAGAUCACACAAACCAGAGUUCUUUAAAGAACAGAAGGGCAAACCCAGGGGGUUUGUCAGGGGCUACCUGGCCCAUCCUCAGGCUGGGGACACCUUCAAAGCCCAAGGGCACAAAGCAGAAGUCACAGCACUGCUCAUCCAGAACACUACUGGCAAGUUUGGGUCAUUUAUCUUCACAGAGGCAGCAAGUCCAAGGGGAGCAGGAAGGUCCUGGAGUGGGAUACGGAUUGUGGGAGAUGUUUCUGCAGCCAAAACCCACCAAAUGCUGCCAUGAGGAAUUUUAAUAUAAUUUAAAGACAAGGAGAACUGAAGACUUAAAGGUCAUAACAUUACAUAAUUAAUUAGGGCUAUACUAAAUAAAUCACUAAAAGUAAAAGCAAACAAAAGUUCUCUCACAUCAGUUCACUUGCUCUUGGAUUCAAAUCUGCAUCCCAACAGGGGAGGGUAUUCCCUGUUCCUGUUCUCUGUCUAAAGAAUGUGCUGCAAUGCAGAAGAAAUGCAUAAUAAAGAAUUGGAGAGAAAGAGCCAAACCAGUAUUAUAUAAUGUAUUACCCGUAA